rnacentral:rRNA from 1 species
AUUGAACGCUGGCGGCAGGCCUAACACAUGCAAGUCGAGCGGAUGACGGGAGCUUGCUCCUUGAUUCAGCGGCGGACGGGUGAGUAAUGCCUAGGAAUCUGCCUGGUAGUGGGGGACAACGUUUCGAAAGGAACGCUAAUACCGCAUACGUCCUACGGGAGAAAGCAGGGGACCUUCGGGCCUUGCGCUAUCAGAUGAGCCUAGGUCGGAUUAGCUAGUUGGUGGGGUAAUGGCUCACCAAGGCGACGAUCCGUAACUGGUCUGAGAGGAUGAUCAGGCAAACUGGAACUGAGAAACGGUCCAGACUCCUACGGGAGGCAGCAGUGGGGAAUAUUGGACAAUGGGCGAAAGCCUGAUCCAGCCAUGCCGCGUGUGUGAAGAAGGUCUUCGGAUUGUAAAGCACUUUAAGUUGGGAGGAAGGGCAGUAAGUUAAUACCUUGCUGUUUUGACGUUACCGACAGAAUAAGCACCGGCUAACUCUGUGCCAGCCGCCGCGGUAACAC